rnacentral:rRNA from 1 species
UGGGGAAUAUUGCACAAUGGGCGCAAGCCUGAUGCAGCAACGCCGCGUGAACGAUGAAGGUCUUCGGAUCGUAAAGUUCUGUUGCAGGGGUAGAUAAUGACGGUACCCUGUGAGGAAGCCCCGGCUAACUACGUGCCAGCAGCCGCGGUAAUACGUAGGGGGCUAGCGUUAUUCGGAUUUACUGGGCGUAAAGGGUGCGUAGGUGGUCUUUCAAGUCGGUGGUUAAAGGCUACGGCUCAACCGUAGUUAGCCUCCGAAACUGGAAGACUUGAGUGCAGGAGAGGAAAGUGGAAUUCCCAGUGUAGCGGUAAAAUGCGUAGAUAUUGGGAGGAACACCAGUAGCGAAGGCGGCUUUCUGAACUGCAACUGACACUAAGGCACGAAAGCGUGGGUAGCAAACAGG